rnacentral:rRNA from 1 species
UACGCCCUAAACGAUGAUCUCUCGGUUUUCGGAGUAUCGACCCUCUGAGAGCCUAAGCUAACGCGAUAAGAGAUCCGCCUGGGAAGUACGGCCGCAAGGCUAAAACUCAAAGGAAUAGACGGGGACCUGCACAAGCAGUGGAUUAUGUGGUUUAAUUCGACAGUAAACGAAACACCUCACCAGGAUUUGAAACUCACGUGAAAUCCGUAGAAAUACGGCCCCCGCAAGGCACGUGGACAGGUGA